GACGAACGCUGGCGGCGGGCUUAACACAUGCAAGUCGAGCGGAAAGGCCCUGCUAUUGUGGGUUUCUCGAGUGGCGAACGGGUGCGUAACAGGGUAACAACCUUCCCUCGACUUUGGGACAACUUCAGGAAACUGGGGAUAAUACCGGAUAGCAGCUCCUGCUGCAUGGAGGGGGUUGGAAAGUGUCGGCGGUUGGGGAUGUACUCGCGGGUGAUCAGUUUGAUGGUGGGGUAGUGGCUUACCAAGGCUUUGACGGGUAGCCGGCCUGAGAGGGUGACCGGCCACAUUGGGACUGAGAUACGGCCCAGACUCCUACGGGAGGCAGCAGUGGGGAAUAUUGCACAAUGGGCGGAAGCCUGAUGCAGCAACGCCGCGUGCGGGAUGACGGCCUUCGGGUUGUAAACCGCUUUCGCCUGUGACGAAGCGUGAGUGACGGUAAUGGGUAAAGAAGCACCGGCUAACUACGUG
rnacentral:rRNA from 1 species